rnacentral:rRNA from 1 species
UCGGCGAAAUCCAUGAUCCUAUGCUGCCGAGAAAAGCCUCUAGCGAGCUGGUACAUGGCCCGUACCCCAAACCGACACAGGUGGUCAGGUAGAGAAUACUAAGGCGAUCGAGAGAACUGUGGUUAAGGAACUCGGCAAAAUGCCCCCGUAACUUCGGGAGAAGGGGGACCAGUCCUGGUGACGACAUUUACUGUCUGAGCUGGGGUUGGUCGCAGAGACCAGAGAGAAGCGACUGUUUACUAAAAACACAGGUCCGUGCGAAGUCGUAAGACGAUGUAUACGGACUGACGCCUGCCCGGUGCUGGAAGGUUAAGAGGACCGGUCAGCCACUUCGGUGGCGAAGCUGAGAAUUUAAGCCCCAGUAAACGGCGGCGGUAACUAUAACCAUCCUAAGGUAGCGAAAUUCCUUGUCGGGUAAGUUCCGACCUCCACGAAUGGCGUAACGACUUCUCUGCUGUCUCAACCACAGACUCGGCGAAAUUGCAGUACAAGUAAAGAUGCUCGUUACGCGCGGCAGGACGAAAAGACCCCGGGACCUUCACUAUAGCUUGGUAUUGGUGUUCGGUUCGGUUUGUGUAGGAUAGGUGGGAGACCGUGAAACUCGCACGCCAGUGUGGGUGGAGUCAUUGUUGAAAUACCACUCUGACCGUAUUGGACAUCUAACCUCGGACCAUGAUCUGGUUCAGGGACAGUGCCUGGUGGGUAGUUUAACUGGGGCGGUUGCCUCCUAAAAAGUAACGGAGGCGCCCAAAGGUUCCCUCAGCCUGGUUGGCAACCAGGUGUUGAGUGUAAGUGCACAAGGGAGCUUGACUGUGAGACGUACAUGUCGAGCAGGGACGAAAGUCGGGACUAGUGAUCCGGCACCGGCAAGUGGAAGCGGUGUCGCUCAACGGAUAAAAGGUACCCCGGGGAUAACAGGCUGAUCUUCCCCAAGAGUCCAUAUCGACGGGAUGGUUUGGCACCUCGAUGUCGGCUCGUCGCAUCCUGGGGCUGGAGUAGGUCCCAAGGGUUGGGCUGUUCGCCCAUUAAAGCGGCACGCGAGCUGGGUUUAGAACGUCGUGAGACAGUUCGGUCUCUAUCCGCCGCGCGCGUAAGAAGCUUGAGGAAACCUGUCCCUAGUACGAGAGGACCGGGACGGACGAACCUCUGGUGUGCCAGUUGUUCCACCAGGAGCACCGCUGGUUAGCUACGUUCGGAAGGGAUAACCGCUGAAAGCAUCUAAGCGGGAAGCCUGUUCCAAGAUGAGGUUUCUCACCACCUAGCGUGGUUAAGGCCCCCCACAGACCAUGGGGUUGAUAGGCCAGAACUGUAAGCACAGCAAUGUGUUCAGGUGACUGGUACUAAUCGGCCGAGGACUUAC